GGGGAUGUAGCUCAAAUGGUAGAGCACUCACUUUGCAUGCGAGAGGUGCAAGGUUCGAUACCUCAGAUCUCCA
rnacentral:tRNA from 1 species